GAUGAACGCUGGCGGCGUGCCUAAUACAUGCAAGUCGAGCGAACAGAUGAGGAGCUUGCUCCUCUGACGUUAGCGGCGGACGGGUGAGUAACACGUGGAUAACCUACCUAUAAGACUGGGAUAACUUCGGGAAACCGGAGCUAAUACCGGAUAAUAUAUCGAACCGCAUGGUUCAAUAGUGAAAGACGGUUUUGCUGUCACUUAUAGAUGGAUCCGCGCCGCAUUAGCUAGUUGGUAAGGUAACGGCUUACCAAGGCAACGAUGCGUAGCCGACCUGAGAGGGUGAUCGGCCACACUGGAACUGAGACACGGUCCACACUCCUACGCGAGGCAGCAGUAGGAAAUCUUCCGCAAUGGGCGAAAGCCUGACGGAGCACCGCCGCGUGAGUGAUGAAGGUCUUCGGAUCCUAAAACUCUGUUAUUAGGGAAGAACAAAUGUGUAAGUAACUAUGCACGUCUUGACGGUACCUAAUCAGAAAGCCACGGCUAACUACGUG
rnacentral:rRNA from 1 species